rnacentral:rRNA from 1 species
UACGAAGGGGGCUAGCGUUGUUCGGAAUCACUGGGCGUAAAGGGCGCGUAGGCGGCCUGAUAAGUCGGGGGUGAAAGCCUGUGGCUCAACCACAGAAUUGCCUUCGAUACUGUCGGGCUUGAGACCGGAAGAGGUAAGUGGAACUGCGAGUGUAGAGGUGAAAUUCGUAGAUAUUCGGAGGAACACCAGUGGCGAAGGCGACUCGCUGGACUGAUACUGACGCUGAGGUGCGAAAGCGUGGGGAGCAAACAGG